rnacentral:lncRNA from 1 species
AAAACUUCUGUUACAAAAGAAGAAACUUACUACUCAAAACUGGACAAUUUAAAAGCUCCGGCUAUAAAACUAAAAGUUUACUGAGUACUCUUACAUCUCCAAGGGGAGUAUACUCUUAGGGAAAUUGCUUCUUCCUAAAGAGGUUCAAAAGAAUCCAUUCACCCAUAAAUAUUCUUCAAGGGCGCCAGGUAUUCAAUUAUUAAAAAAAAUUUUACCCAUCAAGGUACUUAAAAUUGACUAAAUAUCUACUCUAAACCAAAACUCAAAAAGAAUAUUUAUGGUUCCUGGAUUCCUAUUGAACAAAUACGUCCAGGGUUAGAUAAAAACAAACAAAUACCUUCAUAGAAAAUUAACACUAUAUUUAUUGAGAAAUAAAAAUAUUCUUUCGACUAUAAGUAAUAUAUAAAUUCCUGAAUGGAAAACGAAAUGUAUAAAAAGUGUUAAAUAAUUUAAUAUGAAAUUUACAACAACUAAUGGCAAAUAAUCUAAACAAAAACGUAAAAAUCUUUCAAUAUAUUAACAAAGUAAUUACAAGGUUGAUUGAUACAAAUCUAUAUUGAACCUUUGAAUUGCUUGUAACAACCAGACAAAACAAUUAUAUGAUAAUUUUUUGCCUGGGCACUCGAUAAAAAUUACCUCAAUAAAAAGUUACCAUAUGUUAAGGCACACAGGCACACAGAAUAGCUAUACCUAUAUUUAAAAAAACUUGUAAUGAAAAACUGAGAUUAAAUCCCAACAGGCUCGAAAAAUUAACACAUUAUGUUGUACUUAACUGGAAUAUAUCUGCCAUGCUCCAUGACACGUGGACCCAACCAAACAUAAAAAAAAUCGGGCUCAAAGCCGGGUAGAAGCCAUAAAAUCCAUAUUCCAAACCAAACUCCUACCAAAUGUCCUCAAUACGGGAAGAAACCAUACAAAAUAUCUUCAAUACGGGAAGAAACCAGAAAUAAUAUGGAGGUACUAACUCGUCACUCCAUCCAGAAUAUAAUUCUAAUACCGGUAGCAGGUAAUCCUCAAAAAUAUAUCCAGAGACUGGAUUCAGGAUUAGGCUAAUUAACGGCCUUAACGAAUAUAGGGCUCACCCCCUAACCUGAUUGGUGUUUUUUCUA